UACGUAGGGCGCAAGCGUUGUCCGGAAUUAUUGGGCGUAAAGAGCUCGUAGGCGGUCUGUUGCGUCCGCUGUGAAAACCCGGGGCUUAACCCCUGGCUUGCAGUGGAUACGGACAGACUAGAGGUAGGUAGGGGAGAAUGGAAUUCCCGGUGUAGCGGUGAAAUGCGCAGAUAUCGGGAGGAACACCGGUGGCGAAGGCGGUUCUCUGGGCCGUACCUGACGCUGAGGAGCGAAAGCGUGGGGAGCGAACAGG
rnacentral:rRNA from 1 species